UUUACCUACGGGACGCAGCAGUGGGGAAUAUUGCACAAUGGGGGAAACCCUGAUGCAGCAACGCCGCGUGAGUGAAGAAGUAUUUCGGUAUGUAAAGCUCUAUCAGCAGGGAAGAAGAUGACGGUACCUGAGUAAGAAGCCCCGGCUAACUACGUGCCAGCAGCCGCGGUAAUACGUAGGGGGCAAGCGUUAUCCGGAUUUACCGGGUGUAAAGGGGGCGCAAACGGCGAUGCAAGCCAGGAGUGAAAGCC
rnacentral:rRNA from 1 species